GAUGAACGCUGGCGGCGUGCCUAAUACAUGCAAGUCGAGCGAACAGACGAGGAGCUUGCUCCUCUGACGUUAGCGGCGGACGGGUGAGUCACACGUGGAUAACCUACCUAUAAGACUGGGAUAACUUCGGGAAACCGGAGCUAAUACCGGAUAAUAUAUUGAACCGCAUGGUUCAAUAGUGAAAGACGGUUUUGCUGUCACUUAUAGAUGGAUCCGCGCCGCAUUAGCUAGUUGGUAAGGUAACGGCUUACCAAGGCGACGAUGCGUAGCCGACCUGAGAGGGUGAUCGGCCACACGGGAACUGAGACACGGUCCAGACUCCUACGGGAGGCAGCAGUAGGGAAUCUUCCGCAAUGGGCGAAAGCUUGACGGAGCAACGCGGCGUGAGUGAUGAAGGUCUUCGGAUCGUAAAACUCUGUUAUUAGGGAAGAACAAAUGUGUAAGUAACUAUGCACGUCUUGACGGUACCUAAUCAGAAAGCCACGGCUAACUACGUG
rnacentral:rRNA from 1 species